rfam:Ovis aries breed Texel chromosome 10, whole genome shotgun sequence.
UCCCUGGUGGUCCAGUGGUUAGAACUUGGUACUUUCACUGCCAGGAGCCUAGGUUCAAUACCUGAUCAGGGAA